GACGAACGCUGGCGGCGUGCUUAACACAUGCAAGUCGAACGGAAAGUCCCUGCUUUUGUGGGGUGCUCGAGUGGCGAACGGGUGAGUAACACGUGAGUAACCUGCCCUUGACUUUGGGAUAACUUCAGGAAACUGGGGCUAAUACCGUAUAGGAGCUCCUGCUGCAUGGUGGGGGUUGGAAAGUUUCGGCGGUUGGGGAUGGACUCGCGGCUUAUCAGCUUGUUGGUGGGGUAGUGGCUUACCAAGGCUUUGACGGGUAGCCGGCCUGAGAGGGUGACCGGCCCCAUUGGGACUGAGAUACGGCCCAGACUCCAACGGGAGGCAGCAGUGGGGAAUAUUGCACAAUGGGCGGAAGCCUGAUGCAGCACCGCCGCGUGCGGGAUGACGGCCUUCGGGUUGUAAACCGCUUUCGCCUGUGACGAAGCGUGAGUGACGGUAAUGGGUAAAGAAGCACCGGCUAACUACGUG
rnacentral:rRNA from 1 species